UGAGUACCCUCCGUUCUAAAUUACGCGUUGCAGAAAUGGAUGUAUCUAGAAUUAAAAUACAUUUAGAUACAUUCAUUUCUGCGACGAGUAAUUCAGAACGGAAGGAGUAUAAU
rnacentral:pre_miRNA from 1 species